rnacentral:rRNA from 1 species
UACGUAGGCAGCAAGCGUUGUUCGGAGUUACUGGGCGUAAAGGGUGCGUAGGCGGCUCUGUAAGUAUGGUGUGAAAUCUCCCGGCUUAACUGGGAGGGUGCGCUAUAGACUGCGGGGCUCGAGUGUGGGAGAGGAAAGUGGAAUUCCUGGUGUAGCGGUGAAAUGCGUAGAUAUCAAGUGGAACACCAGUGGCGAAGGCGAGUCCCUGGACACUUCCUGACACUGAGGCACGAAAGCUAGGGGAGCAAACAGG